AGCUUUCUGUAUCCGUGCUGAGUUUUCGUCAGCAAUCAACCCGUUGGAGCUGAUGCAACUUCCCAAAUAAAUGAAGCG
rfam:Trichobilharzia regenti genome assembly, scaffold: TRE_scaffold0011897